UAAAUGCCAGUGCAAACCUAAAUACGUCAGUGAUGGUUAUAAUAAUUGUGUCCCAACACAUUUAGAAGAACCAUGUCAAAGAGAUGAAGAUUGCAUUGAAAUAAGGCAUGCUAAAUGUUUCAAGAGAAGGUGUAUUUGCAAGAAAAAUUAUACUCCAUUAAAUAAUACAAAGUGUGCAGCACUUUUGAACAGUUAUUGUUAUAGUGACACCGAUUGUUUUGAUAAAAAUUCAGUUUGUGUUUUACAUAAAUGUCGAUGUAACGUUGGUUACUCGGAAAAUUUCAAUCAUACAUGUGUGCAAAUUCCAUUAGGAAAAUCUUGUAAAGCGGAUAAGGAUUGUGAAUAUUUGAAAAAUUCGAAAUGUUCUGUCGAUAAAAUUUGUGUUUGUGAUGAUGGUUAUUUUGCAUUAGAUGAAUAUACUUGCAC